rnacentral:lncRNA from 1 species
AAAGACACUCGACAAUACCACAGAAAACAAACCAGACAAGCAAGACUAAAACAAAGCAUCCUAUAACCAAUUUCCACAGAUGCCUGGUACCUUCAGUACCUGGCCCAAACUGCAGCUUAACCUUAGCUGCUUCCGGGAUACCAAACACAGGAAUAGAAUACAGACAACAGACACUAACACAUCUAAGCACACUUGUCCAUGCCUACACUCAAAUAGGCAGCCGAACGCAACCUCCAAAGUCAAGUCACAGUCAGAUCUUUUUGACUGUCCGUUGCCGGGUCCUCCCGACAAAAUUCGGCUCGUGGAACGUCUCUCACGCGUCCCAGAGCCAGGACCCGACAAAGGCUG